rnacentral:lncRNA from 1 species
ACCAAACAACCUUCCUUCACUCACUAGAACAAUAGAAACACGACGACAACUCGGAGACAAACGAAGAACACGCUGUCGCCAGAGAAGUCGAGAACGUCAGGAAACCCCCACUCCGUUCUUUAUUUCGUUUCGUGGCAGCCCCGGAACUCGUAGACGACGCCGGAGCCGUACGGGAUCACCUCGGAGACCGUUCACCACAUUCGCCUACGUUUUCUGUUGCUCACUCAAUAAACGUUACGACGGAGACGACCGAAGCCACAACGAGACUGUUCAUCUUGUCGGAUAAUCUCUCUUGUUCAUUCUUUUGGAUUUUCCAAUCUUACUCGUGCGUUACUUACAAGAAAUCGCAAACUCAACCAAUGUACUUAAACGCAUUGGAAACUUGGGCUAUCACUUGGACUGCGUAAACUAGCAUGGUUGAUUAUUGAAGUAUGGAUGAUUGAUGAAACAAGUUUAGGAUGGACUAGAUACACACUUAAAUUUAUCUAUCUUUUGUUGUUAUGAUCUUUGUUGAAACAAUGUUGUUAUCUCCUUUUGAAUUUGUAUGACAUUUAGUAUUGCAAUGAAAUUUGAAUUAAAUUAAAUAUUGUCACAUAGUGUUAUGACGUCUCUAGCAAUCUACACACACUUCGUCUCAUCCCGAUGUUUCCGCCAUCGGUUGGGGUGUGACAUGAAUUGUCUCUAUGCAUGGGUUGUUUUGUAGAUUGAGAAGUUGAACGAGGUUAUCAAAGUGCCCGU